CACGUAGGGGGCAAGCGUUGUCCGGAUUUAUUGGGCGUAAAGAGCUCGUAGGCGGCUCAGUAAGUCGGGUGUGAAACCUCCAGGCUCAACCUGGAGACGCCACCCGAUACUGCUGUGGCUUGAGUCCGGUAGGGGAGCGUGGAAUUCCUGGUGUAGCGGUGAAAUGCGCAGAUAUCAGGAGGAACACCAGCGGCGAAGGCGGCGCUCUGGGCCGGAACUGACGCUGAGGCGCGAAAGCUAGGGGAGCAAACAGG
rnacentral:rRNA from 1 species